rnacentral:rRNA from 1 species
AGAAUCAACGCUGGCGGCGUGCCUAACACAUGCAAGUCGAACGAGAAAGUGGGAGCAAUCCCACGAGUAAAGUGGCGCACGGGUGAGUAACACGUGACUAACCUACCCUUGAGUGGGGGAUAACCUAGGGAAACCUGGGCUAAUACCGCAUAAUACCUACGGGUCAAAGGAGCAAUUCGCUUAAGGAGGGGGUCGCGGCAGAUUAGUUAGUUGGCGGGGUAAUGGCCUACCAAGGCGACGACGGGUAGCC